rnacentral:rRNA from 1 species
ACGGGAGGCAGCAGUAGGGACUAUUGCACAAUGGGGGAAACCCUGAUGCAGCAACGCCACGUGUGGGAAGAAGCAUUUCGGUGUGUAAACCACUGUCGUGAAGGAAUAAGGCUUAUUUUCGGAUAAGUUGAAUGUACCUCGAAAGGAAGCACCGGCAAACUUCGUGCCAGCAGCCGCGGUAAUACGAGGGGUGCGAGCGUUGUUCGGAAUCACUGGGCGUAAAGGGAGCGCAGGCGGAAAUGCAAGCGGUCUGUACAAUGCCGGGGCCCAACCCCGGACCUGCAGACCGGACUGCAUUUCUUGGAUAGUGCAGGGGCAAGCGGAAUUCCUGGUGUAGCGGUGGAAUGCGUAGAGAUCAGGAAGAACACCGAUGGCGAAGGCAGCUUGCUGGGGACUUAUCGACGCUCAUGCUCGAAAGUGCGGGUAGCAAACAGGAUUAGAUACCCUGGUA